GACGAACGCUGGCGGCGUGCUUAACACAUGCAAGUCGAACGGAAAGGCCCUGCUUUUGUGGGGUGCUCGAGUGGCGAACGGGUGAGUAACACGUGAGUAACCUGCCCUUGACUUUGGGAUAACUUCAGGAAACUGGGGCUAAUACCGGAUAGGAGCUCCUGCUGCAUGGUGGGGGUUGGAAAGUUUCGGCGGUUGGGGAUGGACUCGCGGCUUAUCAGCUUGUUGGUGGGGUAGUGGCUUACCAAGGCUUUGACGGGUAGCCGGCCUGAGAGGGUGACCGGCCACAUUGGGACGGAGAUACGGCCCAGACUCCUACGGGAGGCAGCAGUGGGGAAUAUUGCACAAUGGGCGGAAGCCGGAUGCAGCAACGCCGCGUGCGGGAUGACGGCCUUCGGGUUGUAAACCGCUUUCGCCUGUGACGAAGCGUGAGUGACGGUAAUGGGUAAAGAAGCACCGGCUAACUACGU
rnacentral:rRNA from 1 species